AGGAGAAGUGAUGUACCAAAUUGUAAUUUUACUACAAGUACAACAUUGAAAGCAGCAUAUACAACAUUGUGUAAGCAAAGAAAAUUGGAAAGUAUUUGGUAUUUUAAGACGCUGGAAGGGCACAAUUGACAAUUCAAACUCCUUUCACUUUAAUUGCCAUAGUAAUUGAAUGCCAAUUGAAUGCGCUCUUCAUCACCACCGGUUCGUUUUCUCAUCAACAAUCAAUGAAAUCAUCAUGUUUACUGGUGAAUUGAUCAAUUGAAACUGAUUUUAAACUUGAAUUGAAGCAACCCCUUCGUUUCCAGACCCACCCCCUUAUUACUCGGCAAUUGAACGCCUUUGUUGGUGGAGAAGGUUCGUUGGCAUCUGGGUUGGGUCGAAAUCUCUUGCACAGUCUUCUUCUUAAGCGAUCUGAAAUGGUUUGUGGGACAGUUCUUAUGUAGUUAUAGCACCCUACCAAUGUAUGCACUCGAUACGCAGAUAGAAGAGUUCUGUGAUAGUGUGAUGAUACAAAGAAGAGUUCUAUCAAGGUUUUGAUCUCUAUGUAUACCUCUGGAUAGUUGGUUUUGAUCUCUAUGUAUACCUCUAGAUAGUUGGGUUUAUGGUAGUGGUUCCGUGUUCUGAGUACGGGAAUCGAGUUAAAAAGCUGGAUUCUAUAAACCUCUACGGUGAUAAAGAUCAAUGGGUCUGGAUUGGCGGAAAAGAUAGCGAUUUUUCAGUUGGAGUGGUCAAAAGGUUCUUGAGAAGUGAGAGAGAUUGCAGUAACAACUUUGUUCUCAAGUGGUCGAAACAGGUGCCAAAGAAAUGCAGUAUAUUGGUGUGGUGUGCUGAGAUGGGGAGGAUCCCGACAGUUGACGUGCUUUUAAAACGAAACUGCUACAACGGAGAAGACAUGUGUGUUUUAUGUGAAGACAGCUGAUCAUCUCUUCUGUAGCUGUUACGUGGCUGCUGUGUUAUGGAAUCGGGUCAGUCUCUGGUGCAAGAUAAGUCCCAUCUACGCUUUUUUGGUUAAAGACUUUCUGGAAAUUUACAAGUACGCAGGUUUGAAGAAGCAUGAGGAAGAUAUCAUGCAUGGUAUUAUUAUGGUCGGCUGCUGGAUCUUAUGGAAAAGGAGGAACAACAUCAGGUUUUCUGGCAUUAGCGUCUAUAUUGGUAAAAUCUUUCAAGAUGUUAUGGUGCUUGGUUUUUUUUGGUAUAGGAGUAGAUCUAAAAAUAGAGAAUUGUCUUGGGCUAACUGGUGCUCUUUUCAAAUGUUUUAAAGGCCUGUGCUGCUGUUGUGUUUUGUUGCUGCCCAUGUGUUAGGGUAGUGUUGUUUAUAAAAGUUUACUUUCAAAAAAAAGAUGCUUCUUGAUCUAUACUUAGUUCUAGAAGACGGCACUUAAGAUCAUGCUCGCAAAACGGAUAUCUAUAACUUAUCAUCAUUUUAAGAUGGUAAAUGAAAGAUUUCGUUACCUUUGCUAUAUUUGUGGCAAUGGCUGCAAAAUGUUUAUAAUUCUUGCCUUCAAAUCAUAGUGGUUCCCCGUUAUUAUCUUACUGCAAAUUCAUGUGUAUGUAUGCAGUAAAUUCAUUUUGUGGCCUUAGUUUUAGAAGGAAUAAAUUGAAAGAUCUGCACAAAUUUGAAUGCUUCUGGUUACUUGUAUAUUGAUAAUAUGCUUGUGAAACUUUUUAAUGCUAAGAAAGUUGAAUGUGAACAAUGUAAUAUGGAAGUGCAAAACUUUCUCCUAUUGAUAUGUUUAACUAAAUAUUGAUUUUGUCGUUGAAUGUAGCCUUAUGUGUUUUGACUUUUGAUCCAAUUAGCCUUAUGUGUUUUAACUUUUGAUCCAAUUUGGCAUCGAGUGUCAAGCUAAGCAGGCUAGCGCUGCUAACGAUGAAUAUACUUUUGCUUGAGGUAAGUUUUCGGUUCUAAACCCUAAUUUAUCCGUAUACAAUUAAUGUUUCAUUUUCAUUUUUGUCGUGUUAGUUUGAAUAUAUGUUGUGAUUGUAAAAGUUGUUAUGAUAUCGGUUCAUUUCACUCUGCAAGAUCUGUUUACACUUUCCGCUAUAUUUCUUGCCUGUUAGUGGCUAUGUUUUUUUUCUUAAUUAGACCAAUUUUAUGACUGAUCAUCAAUGUUUUCUCAGAUCGUGUUAUUAUAUCGUUUGUUGUGCGCUGGAUCUCAUGUUAAAGUUCAUAUAUCCUAUCUUGUUGCAUUUUUUAGCCGACAAAGGAAACACUUUUAUUCAAACACAAAGCUUCACUCCUAGCAAGCAGCUAAGAGGAGCAGGUACAUUAGAACUCAAAGAGACUAACUCAAACAAGACACCAAACAACCAGAAUGCACUUAGCCAAAAUUCAUACUAGAAAAAAUGUUCCAGUCCUCCGGUGUGAGGCUGCUUCUGCGGCGUCUCUUCACCAUCCACCAAAAGGACGUGACUUUAAUAUCCUCCAAAAGCGAGUGAGCCGAGUUGUGUUUCUUGUUAAAAACUUUUUUGUUGCGGUUGGACUAGAUUAUCCAAAGCGUUAGCAGGAAUAUCACGUAGACGACCUGUUUUCUUCCUACUUCCCAGCUCCACUCCAGUGAUCAAGCAUGUGUUGCACCGAGCCAAAAAUACUCGGGACUGACACCUGCAUCCAUCCACACACUAAUCGUUACACCGACUUAUCAAAGGUGCAUUUGACUAGCAAAUGGUCUGCUGUUUCAUUAUGGGUUCCACAUGCCGGGCAUAAGCCAUUGCCAAACGACACGUUUCUAGCAGCUAAAGCCACAGCCGCCGGAAUCCUUACUUUAACCGCCCUCCUCCCAAAACAAUUAACUUUCGGAACCACAGUUUUUCUCCAAACAAACCUGUUCGGAUCCUCAUUAGUUUCCAACGUGCUCUCCAGGUCAGCUCUUUGCCCCAGUUGGUUUUCCAACUCCAAGUGUCGCAGGUCUCCUUGAGCCUGACCUGCCCCAACAUAGUUUGUAUACUGACCACUUGAUAUGUUCUUUAGCCGUGUGAUGGAGUGAGGGAACACUGAAAAUUCCAGCAAACUUCGUCUCCAUCUUUCUUCUAGCAGUCCAUUACCAUGGCAGUUCAUAUUUUUUUGUCAACAGAUUAUUUCUAUAUUUAUUGUCAAUUAUUUUUGUUAAUACAAUAUGCCUUUUUCUUCGGAUCUAACAUGAAUAAGAUAAAGAGAAGAAAAUCGAGUUUCAGCUAAUAUAUCCGAAUCUUGUUUCAAAUGAUCCAACCCAGCAAAAAACCAAUCUAAACCAACCAAAAAUGGCAUGGACCGGACUAAAGCAGGGUUGCACCAUUCUGGACGGAUGCGCGCCUCGCAAGUUCCGGGCAUGCGUUUUUUUCUUUGCGCUAAAGCAUUAGGCGCGCGGUACGCCCUUUGCGCCUUAAGUGCACCUUGAACCUUUAACAACUUAGGUUUAUGGGAGUAAAAUGAUUAUCAUUUACUGCACAAAUUUUUAGUAGCAAUUGUAUAAGUAUCAUAUGGAAUGUUUGUAAUUUGUGGUUUUUUCAUGAUUUUUAAAGGCUUGAUGGGGAUGUUCCUGGUGGUGCAGUCUAAAAGGAUAGCAACUUUACAGAAGCAUGUAUGUGACUUGUUACUUUUCCUAUUCUUACAAAAACUUUGUAAUCAUCAUAUCCCUUUUAUUGUUAAUUUGAUUUUGAUUGUUGUAUGUUUAUUGGGUUUUGUGGCCUGAAUGAGUUUCACAGCGGGUUGAUUUGGUUUUUAUGACAAUUUUCUCUCCUUGGAUUUGCUUUU